rnacentral:lncRNA from 1 species
AGAAAAUUGAAAAGAAUGGAAAAGAUGUGGUCAACACUUAUUCAUUUCACAUUAACUAAUUAACAAGUCCAUCAUGAUACGCAACUCUAGAAUUUAUUAAAUAUGGAUAGCUAUUGAAAAUUAAUAUGAGUGAGGUUGGAUUUGUUAGAAAAUUUAGUUGGCGCUUUAAAGGCAUCUAUGGCUUUUCUUGUGUUUGUAUUUGUUCUAUAUGUAUAGCUUUAUCAAGAAACACACACAAACACACAGUGUCAAUGGCUAUUUACACCUUUCAUACAUUGACCANNNNNNNNNNNNCNUNCAUUGACCAUAAUGAAUUACCUCCCUCUACCAGCCCCUUUAAUUUCCCUGCACAGCAUGCACUUAUUAGUUUUAAUUGCAAAUAUUUACUCCAAUUUUCCAUUUUGAGCAAACUAUCUUGGGAUUUUCUCCAACCAUUAAUACAUUUCCCUGCCCCUCAAUUUACUCCUCUCUCUUCUUUCUACCCUUCCUCUUUCAAUUCAUUCAAUUGAUUUCCUAUUAACUCUCUCUCUCUCUCUCUUCCAACUCGUCCGUCUUAUAAUUUAAUUAAGCUUUUAAAGCAAUCCCAUCUCUCCGCUCUAUAGUUCCCAUUAUAUAAUAUGUCUUUACAAGUCCAAGAUCAUCAACUAGGACCACAACAACUUCCACUUGUUCAUCUUAGUAGUUUAGCCGUGCUGCAGGUGGUUCCGGUUACUUCCCUUGGUGCCUCGCCGAUCACCGCUGUAACCUUCCGGCUACCGCCGUCCCUUUCUUCCAUCACAACCACCCUUACUCCACCUUUGAAUUAGAAGAGCUAGCCCUCAUCACUUCCUUUAGGGUGGCGAAAGAUUUCUCAAUCUUAAGGUAAUACAAGUUCUU